ACAAAAAAAAAACCAAGUUUAUUAAACAAGUAAAAGCCUUAUUGUUAUACUGGGAAUGUAUUCAUUUUACUGUUUUAAAUUCUGAGUGCAGUGAAGAAGCUUAUAGUUUUACAAAGAUGUUUUUUUUUUUUUUUAUCUGUGCGUAACUGUUCUACUAGAAUACUUGCUCGGAUUUCUACGUGUGGCACCUUUUCUGAUAGGAAAUCGAAGUGGGGAGAUACUUUAGGGAGGUCAUUUUAAUGGUUUUCUCAUCAAAUUUAAAAUACCGUAAAAAAAUAAACUGGAAAAUGUACGAAAUAUAUUACUAAAGUAUGACUUUCUUUUUCCUGUGCAUAACUUUUCUACCAGCAAUUUUGCUCCAACUUUUAAUGAUAGCAGUAUUUCUAAAAGGCACUUUUACUAGAAAGGUACUUUAGAGAUGUGAUUUUUCAAUUUUCCCAGGAGUUUUCCCAACAAAUUGAAAAACCGGGAAAAAACAUGGGAAAACCCGGAAAAACUUACAAAAACUGGGAAAAUCGGUGCAACACCAAACAAAUAUUAUCAAAAAAAAUAUGAAAAGCCUAAUUAAUUAUUUUACUAUAAAAUGACAUAUAUAUAUUGUUGACAAAGCAUCACUAUUAACUGAACUCCGCUCAGAAUCGUUUUUUCGUAAGCAAUGGUUUAUUGUUGAUUACAAGUAUACAUUAAAUUAUCAAUAACAGUGGCUGCACCCAUCCCCAAUAUCCUAAGACGUUUUUUUUCUUGUUUUUGCGUAUCAUGUUGCAAUUAUCAACUGUAGUAUUGUAAUAAAGUAAAUAAAGGGGUGCAACACAAAUGAAUGUAUAACCACUAAUCACUUAAAUUACUUAUUACAGCCUACGACGGUAAGAAACAAUUAAUAUAAGAUACACUGUGAAGGGUAACAACAAUAUACUUACCUAUCCUGAACGGAGUAUCCCCAGCAACAAUGUUGAGUUUGAACACAGGUAUAAUUAUAUUUAUUUAUUAUGUUGAUGAAAAUAGAUAGUAGGUAUGAUAAAAUAAACACUUGAUUAAGUUAAAAAUGAUGACAUCGGAAUGUUAGAAGACGGUACAACACGCAAUCGCGGGGAGACGAAAAAAAUGACGAGUCGCCAAGGCAGGAUCCGGUGGCCGAAUGAGUCGAGGAGUCUCUUAUGAGAAAGAAAGGGGAAAAUAGUGGAGUGGUGUUGUCCGGUUCUCAUUAUCAUGUUUUAUUAUUAUAUGCGAUAUUUAACUGUAAUACAUAUUAUUUUGUCUUAA